CUCUUUCGGUAAAGUCACGUUGAAGGGAAACAAUAAAAUAAUAAAAUAUAUAUAAAACAACAAAAAUUCUCACGUUGUUACGACCAUAUCACAAACGGUCAUUAUGAUUUUAUUGUUUCCCUUCAACGUGACUUUACCGAAAGAGCUAAGAAUAUGAAUUGCUGCAGUCACGAAAGCUUUAAAUCCUUGAUAGGUUAUUUGAUAGGUUAUUUGAUAGGUUCCUUGAUAGGUUAUUUGAUAGGUUAUUUGAUAGGUUCCUUGAUAGGUUCCUUG